GACUUUCUGAUGCCAAGAAUGCUGCAGACAGGAUACGGCUCACGGAAAUACUUUCAGACAACUACUCCUUCUACCACUUUUCUACCUCCAGUCAGACACAUGUCAGUCCAGUAUCCAGAUGCACAAACAGCACAUGGACAGUCAAUGCAGAGCUCAUCACAAAGAGAUUACAAAGCACCUGUGGUCUCGUCUGCAGUUUGUACACUGCCACCUGCUGCCUGCUUUCUCAAACCACAACCAAACAACUUUGCUCAUGCAACAAUCUCAAACACACAAGGGAAAUAUUCAGAAACAGAUCAUAUCAGAUCAGCUUGGAACCAGCAGAUGGAGAUCAUGCCAUCUUUAAAAACCUUCAAACACCAGGGUACCCAUCAUCAAAGAUCGCGCUCAAAAUCCACUACUGAUUGCAGUGAAGGACACAGCUGUUUCUAUGUGGUGAAGCCAUAUAAAGUCGGACACUACAUCAUCCACCCAGAGUUUGUGUCAGAAGCAAAGCACUACUAA
ensembl:lncRNA